rnacentral:rRNA from 1 species
UCCGUAGGUGAACCUGCGGAAGGAUCAUUACAGUGUUCCCUGCCCUCACGGGUAGAAACGCCCACCCUUGUAUAAUUUAUCUUGUUGCUUCGGCAGGCCGCCCUCGGGCACCGGCUCCGGCUGGAUCGCGCCUGCCAAAGGACCCCAAACUCUGAAUGUUAGUGUCGUCUGAGUACUAUAUAAUAGUUAAAACUUUCAACAACGGAUCUCUUGGUUCUGGCAUCGAUGAAGAACGCAGCGAAAUGCGAUAAGUAAUGUGAAUUGCAGAAUUCAGUGAAUCAUCGAAUCUUUGGACGCACAUUGCGCCCCGUGGUAUUCCGCGGGGCAUGCCUGUUCGAGCGUCAUUUAAACCAAUCCAGCUUGCUGGGUCUUGGGCUCUCGCCUCCGGGCGGGCCCUAAAAUCAGUGGCGGUGCCGUCCGGCUCUAAGCGUAGUAAUACUCCUCGCUACAGGGUCCCGGGCGGUCGCUUGCCAGCAACCCCUAAAUCUUUCAGGUUGACCUCGGAUCAGGUAGGGAUACCCGCUGAACUUAAGCAUAUCAAUAAGCGGAGGA